rnacentral:rRNA from 1 species
UGGGGGAUAUUGCACAAUGGGCGAAAGCCUGAUGCAGCGACGCCGCGUGGGGGAUGAAGGCCUUCGGGUUGUAAACUUCUUUUGCUCUGAACAAGGCAUGCCUUUGGGGUGUGUCGAGUGUAGGGGUUGAUUAGCGCCGGCUAACUACGUGCCAGCAGCCGCGGUAAUACGUAGGGCGCGAGCGUUGUCCGGAAUUAUUGGGCGUAAAGGGCUUGUAGGUGGCUGGUUGCGUCUGUCGUGAAAGCUCAUGGCUUAACUGUGGGUUUGCGGUGGGUACGGGCUGGCUUGAGUGCAGUAGGGGAGGCUGGAAUUCCUGGUGUAGCGGUGGAAUGCGCAGAUAUCAGGAGGAAUACCGGUGGCGAAGGCGGGUCUCUGGGCUGUUACUGACGCUGAGGAGCGAAAGCGUGGGGAGCGAACAGG